rnacentral:rRNA from 1 species
GGCUUAACACAUGCAAGUCGAGGGGUAUAGUUCUUCGGAACUAGAGUACCGGCGCACGGGUGCGUAACGCGUGGGAAUCUGCCCUUGGGUUCGGAAUAACAGUUAGAAAUGACUGCUAAUACCGAAUGAUGUCUUCGGACCAAAGAUUUAUCGCCCAAGGAUGAGCCCGCGUCGGAUUAGCUAGUUGGUGAGGUAAAAGGCUCACCAAGGCGACGAUCCGUAGCUGGUCUGAGAGGAUGAUCAGCCACACUGGGACUGAGACACGGCCCAGACUCCUACGGGAGGCAGCAGUGGGAAUAUUGGACAAUGGGCGAAAGCCUGAUCCAGCAAUGCCGCGUGAGUGAUGAAGGCCUUAGGGUUGUAAAGCUCUUUUACCCGGGAUGAUAAUGACAGUACCGGGAGAAUAAGCCCCGGCUAACUCCGUG